rnacentral:rRNA from 1 species
AAGUCGUAACAAGGUAACCGUAGGUGAACCUGCGGUUGGAUCAUUAAUAAAUUCAACUAAAGAGGGGAGCAAUCCCCUUCUUUAAACACAAUGUGCACCGUAAUUGUCUCUGGUGGGUCAAGUUUCUUGCCCACUGUAUUUUAACUCUUCUGCUUUAUUUCGGACUUUAGUUUAAGAAUAAUAAUUCUAACAACUUUUGGCAACGGAUCUCUUGGUUCUCGCAACGAUGAAGAACGCAGCGAAAUGCGAUAAGUAAUGUGAAUUGCUAUUCCGUGAAUCAUUAAAUCUUUGAACGCACAUUGCGCUUUGUGGUAUUCCGCAGAGCAUGACUGUUUGAGAAUCAGUUUAACCCUCACUUCCACUUCGGUGGGAAUGGAUUUGGAGUGCUUAAGACUUGUGCUUAAUACUCUUUAACUGAAUUUUCGCCUUUUGCUGCAUUAGUAGCUCAAAGUUGACUGGAAGGCAUGACCAAUGGACUGCAAGGUCUUUGAUUGCUGAUAAAGGUUGAUGUCGACUGCUAUUGUAACAAGUCUAGGUAGAAACUCUUUAUAACACGAGUCUUCGGACUUAAGGCUUGAUCUCAAAUCAAACAAGACUACCCGCUGAACUUAAGCAUAUCAAUAAGCGGAGGAAAAGAAACUAACAAGGAUUCCCCUAGUAACGGCGAGUGAAGCGGGAUCAGCUCAAUUUGAAAUCUGUUAGGUCUCCUAACCGAAUUGUAGUUUAAAGAAGUGUUUUCCGGAGUGAACUAGGUCCAAGUCCUUUGGAACAUGGCAUCAUAGAGGGUGAGAAUCCCGUCUCUGGUCUAGUCUCCAUUCCACUGUGAUACACNNCAAAGAGUCGGGUUGUUUGGGAAUGCAGCCCAAAAUGGGUGGUAAAUACCAUCUAAAGCUAAAUAUUGGCGAGAGACCGAUAGCGAACAAGUACCGUGAGGGAAAGAUGAAAAGAACUUUGAAAAGAGAGUUAAAUAGUACGUGAAAUUGCCAAAAGGGAAACGCUUGAAACCAGUCUUGUUGGCAGAAUCACAACUAGGCUAACGCCUAGCCCAUGUUUCUGUUAGCAGGUCAACAUCGGUUUUGAUUGGAGUACAAAGCUUGAGGAAGGUGGCCUUCGGGUGUUAUAGCCUCAAGUCAUGCUCUGGUUGGGACCGAGGANUGCAGUGCAGCCUUGGGGACCUAUUCGCUUGUUGAUGCUUUUGCUUAGACAACUUGUUGACUAAGCGACGGAUAAGGCAAAUCGGGUAGUUUACCACACCUGUGCUUAGGAUGUUGACAUAAUGGUUUUAAACGACC